rnacentral:rRNA from 1 species
UACGAAGGGGGCUAGCGUUGUUCGGAAUUACUGGGCGUAAAGGGCUCGUAGGCGGCCAACUAAGUCAUACGUGAAAUCCCUCAGCUUAACUGGGGAACUGCGUGUGAUACUGGAUGGCUUGGAUUUGGGAGAGGGAUGCGGAAUUCCAGGUGUAGCGGUGAAAUGCGUAGAUAUCUGGAGGAACACCGGUGGCGAAGGCGGCAUCCUGGACCAAUAUUGACGCUGAGGAGCGAAAGCCAGGGGAGCAAACGGG